rnacentral:misc_RNA from 1 species
GAUGAAGAACGUAGCAAACUGCGAUACUUGGUGUGAAUUGCAGAAUCCCGUGAACCAUCGAGUCUUUGAACGCAAGUUGCGCCCGAAGCCAUUAGGCCGAGGGCACGCCUGCCUGGGCGUCACACGUCGUUGCCCCCCAUCUACUCCUUCGGGAUUGCGGGGGGCGGAUGAUGGCCUCCCGUGCGCCUCGUCGCGCGGUUGGCAUAAAUGCCAAGUCCUCGGCGACGCACGCCACGACAAUCGGUGGUUGCGAAACCUCGGUUGCCCGUCGUGUGCGGUCGUCGCGCAUCGAGGGCUCGAAAAAAUUGCCGGGCUCCGGCUCGGCUUUCAACGCGACCCCAGGUCAGGCGGGGUUACCCGCUGAAUUUAAGCAUAUCAAUAAGCGGAGGA